rnacentral:rRNA from 1 species
CCUACGGGUGGCAGCAGUGGGGAAUAUUGGACAAUGGGCGAAAGCCUGAUCCAGCCAUGCCGCGUGUGUGAAGAAGGCCUUCGGGUUGGAAAGCACUUUCAGUGGGGAAGAAAGCCUUGGGGCUAAUACCCUCGAGGAAGGACAUCACCCACAGAAGAAGCACCGGCUAACUCCGUGCCAGCAGCCGCGGUAAUACGGAGGGUGCGAGCGUUAAUCGGAAUUACUGGGCGUAAAGCGCGCGUAGGCGGUCUGAUAAGCCGGUUGUGAAAGCCCCGGGCUCAACCUGGGAACGGCAUCCGGAACUGUCAGGCUAGAGUGCAGGAGAGGAAGGUAGAAUUCCCGGUGUAGCGGUGAAAUGCGUAGAGAUCGGGAGGAAUACCAGUGGCGAAGGCGGCCUUCUGGACUGACACUGACGCUGAGGUGCGAAAGCGUGGGUAGCAAACAGGAUUAGAUACCCGGGUAAUC